CUACAGCAGAGUGAUUUGCGAAAGCCGCUUAAUCGCGAUAACCCGAUUUGAUAAAAGGAUGAGCAAUAUCGCGGCAUUGCUUGCCCUGAAAAUGACGAAUAACUGUUUCUCGCUUCUCGUGUUGCGCUACGUCUACUCUCCUUUUACAUUACACAAUCUUUAUUUAAUGUAUUUGAGGAAAAAAUAGAGAAAGACACACCAAAGUAACGAUCGCUCGUUUGUUCUUCACCUGAAUUAUUUCAUAGACUAUUUAUACUCUUUUGACGAUAAUGACGAAAAAAAAUCUCAACGUCGAGUCCAUGCAGCACACCCGGCACAGCACGUACCUGCCUGUUUUAUAAAUGAACAUAAACUACCUCUCGCGGAUGCGAUUAAAUCGCAGGUCAUUGGACGUUUGAUACGACGAUAAAAGGGGGACAUAUUAUUUGUGAAAGCUUCAUUAAUGUCACUAAUAAUUACUGACAUCGAUUGAAAUCUUUCUAAAAUCUCACAUUUUCGACAGAUCCAUUUAUCUCACUGAUUUGACAUUCACGAAGCGCCGGCUACAUUUCUUCAUCCAUUUAUAACCAGUUCAGACCGUUUAACAAAGUUCAUAGUAACAAUCAUCGGUCUGACAGUGGAAUGGUCAGAGUUUAAGUCUCAAUCAUACGUUUCGUAACACCUCGUUGAUGAAUGUUUUUCAAAGAAAUAAAAAGGAUCGAAGCGAGGUAGGAUAGUGGAGUGGUGGAUUGAUAAAAUGAGGUGAAAGUUCCCGAUGGUACAAUCUCGAAAUGUUCCUUGAAUAGCUCUCUGGUUGCCCGUUUUUCAACGUGAUCCAGCCCUUUUCUACCUUUCAGGGAAACAUCUACGGCUUACUUCGACAUUUUUUUCCUUCGUCAUUCCCUCGUGAGCUUCGUUUUUUCAGCUGGGACUGUCUACCAACAAAAAUGUGGCUUUGGAGGGUUGUUAGAGCCAGACACCGAUCUCUCCCCUUUAUUACUGCAUGUCUGAGAAAAGAGAAUUUCACAAAUGAUCAAAAACUUUCGGAUCAUCCGUUCGUCAAAGAUUCGUCACUCCAAUCCAGUCCGCUUUUCUCAACGAGGUUCGAACAGCCAUAGCUGCGUAUACGUCAACUGGUUACGGAUGAGGUUGAAAGCUUUGCUGAACGCGACAAGAACAUUGUAUACUGGGACGAUACAUGGAAGCCCACGCGAAAGAGGGAAGCAGGAGGAACGAGGGGAAGGAGACAGGGAAAGAGAGCGGGCGAGAGACAGAGAGAAGGAAGAAGAAAAGCCGAGAUGCUUUUAAUACCGAUGCACUUUAACGUCGUGAUCGUAAAGACUCUUGAAUAUGAUUUAUGCUUCGUGAAGCAGAGAUAAAAGUUUUCACUCAAGAUUUGAAGCUCGAAAACUUGGACUGUAUCCUCUGGAACGAGCGCUACUUUCCUCUCCAUCCUUUUCAUUUUGUGCCACAUUUCGAGUGAAAGUUGAGCAUUUUUUGGCAUCACAAUUAUGCUCGAGUCGAGGUGAAAAAAAAAAAGUGUCUGAAAAGGUAGAAUCUCAACACCUUUCCGUAGCUCGAAGUCUCUCUCGAAGCGAAGAACGAAAAUGUAAAUAAAAAAGAGCACUACUCAUAUCCAGGAAAAAAAAGGGAAUCCGAACGAGAUGUCGAAACUUGUGCAAUAUUUUUGUGAACGAAACACAGAUUGAUCGCUCAGAGAAUCCAAUCGAAGAGGAAAAAGUCUGCAACUAUCCAUGAAUUUAUGGAUCAGUCCAAAAGGUUUAUUUGAAAAGAUAAAUCCGAGGAAUUUGCACGUUGAGCCUGGAAUAUCUCGUAUGAAGAUUGGACGGGAGAUAAAACAUAUAUAGAUGCGACAGUUGAUGCUUGGUGCGCUGCGAGUUGGCCCAAAGCUCCUCCAUAGAAACUACGAUUACGACUGGAGAGUGUAAAUUACCGUGAAACCGGUGAAACCACGAUCACAAACACUCCCAAAUGUAUAUAUAAUUAUGUAUGUGAUAACUGUGGCUGACAGAUGGAACAACUUAUCGUUACUGGCCUAUCAACAUUGAAAAUCAGCAAAAGUUCAUAAAUAUUGUAUUAUGGCUUAUUUUUUCCUCGGUUAUUUCUACACUAAGAAAAAAAAAAGCCAAUUGGAACUACGAAAUAUGGCAUGACGGGGUGGCAAUGAAAUUUAUGAUCAUCACAAGGUUAAAUACACGAUUAAACGAACAAAAGAGUUUUAGAUCAAA
rnacentral:lncRNA from 1 species